rnacentral:lncRNA from 1 species
UAGCCAAGGGGAAGGAGUGGCCAUGUUUGGAGACAUAGGACGGGCAAGAAGUGUGAUGGAAAGCUGGAGUCGGGCAGUAAAAGAACGCACCGGGGAGAACUGUGCAACUGCAGUAUCCCAGAGGUCAAGUCUUCUUCAAGCUCAGCCCAGUGAGAUCUAAAAUUGGGAACUUACCAGAAACUAGCAGAAAAGUAUGGCAAAAAGAAAUGAAGUGGGAAAUCAAUACAUUCUCAGACGAAGAAGAAUAAGAGAAUUUGUCACCAGUAGACCUGCAGAAGAAGAAUGACUAAAGGAUGGUAUCUAAACAAAAACAAGCCAAAAGAGAAGAAACCUUGGAAGGGAGAAAGAACACUGUUAGCAAAACUAUAUGUAACUACAAUAGAUUUUUCUUCUCCUCUUGAAUUUUCUAAAGUAUGAUUUCUAAAUUAUGCUGGUUGAAGCAAAAAUUAUAAAACUCUCUGCUGUGGUUCUAAAUGUAUACAAAGGAAAUAUUUAAGGAAAUUAUUUUAUAAAUUGGGGAAUUAAAGGUAAAUAAAGGUAUAAUUUCACAGGAUGUAAAAUGAUGACACAAGUAGACUGUGAUAAAUUCAUGUGUGUGUGUAUAUAAAUAUAUAUUAUAUAUAUAUAGUAAUACACAGAUCAACCACUUAAAAAUUGCACUAUUUUGUGUAUAAAAAAUACAUUCAAAAACAGUGUAGAUGAAUGAAAAUGAGAUUUUAGGAAAUGUUCAGUUACUACAGGAAGAUAGAAAAAUUCAAACAGAGAAACACAAAAACAGAGAGAACAAACUGAAAACAAAAAUAGUUGUGAAUUACAUUGUGAGACAAUGAUUCCCUUUUCAAUUUCUUUCAAACUUCUGAUCAAAUCAGGCAGAAGCCUCAGUCUGGUGACAGGAGUCUUUCAAAAUUCCCUGGCAUUGCUAAACUCUCUUCUUUAACCCAGAGGAAGAAGAUCUCAAAUUCAGAGCCUGGGCAGGUGACAGCAUUUAGCCAGAACUCUAUAACACUGCUUGCACUGAGAUUAUUUUUAAAGUCACUUUUUUUGUGGCAAUUGAUAUGUUUUCACACACAGGUGUUAUACAAUAUUUCUUUUAUGAUAGAAAAUACAAAAUGAUGGGUCAAUAUAUGGAAAGAAUGUUAAAUUAUAGUUCAUAUAUUCAAAAAGAGCAAAUAUCAGGAAGAUGGUAUCCAAAUGACUGAAAUUGGUGAACUCAUUUAGGCAAAGUGCCAGUCACUUUCCAUCUUAUCUACUUUAAUGAAACAUUUAUUAUACUAAAUAUUUAUUAUUAUUAUUAUUAUUAUUAUUACAAUUUUGAGAUGGAGUCUUGCUUUGUCACCGAGCCUGGAGUGCAGCGGCAUGAUCUCUGCUCACUGCAACCUCUGCCUCUCGGGUAAAAGCGAUUCUCUGCCUCAGCUGGGAGUACAGGCGCCCACCACCAUGUCCAGAUAAUUUUUGUAUCUUUAGUAGAGACGGGGUUUUGCCAUGUUGGCCAGGCUGGUCUUGAUCUCCUGGCCUCAAGUGAUCCACCCGCCUUGGCCUCCCAAACUGCUGGGAUUAUACGCAUGAGCCACCAUGUCCAGCCUUAUUAUUUGUUGAAGUACUUAUUUAGCCCACUAUAAUGUGAGCUCCUUAAAAUCAGGAAAGAUGUCGAUUUUGUUUCUUUAGCAUUUGGCACUAUAUUUGUCACAACAUUCUCAAUGUUUGGUGAAUGUUUGAUUGAACAGCUCUAAAGGGAAGGCAUAGAGAAAUGAGUAAAUUUGGCCCCUUUGUUACACUUUGUUUAUGGUGGGCCAGGGAAAUAAAAGUUGUAAAUAAUGUAUUUGGUUGAACUUUUUUCUAAUCAUGUGUUUAUGAAUGCAUUGGGGUAGUGGAUAUAAAACUAAAGGAUGUGAAAAUGGGUGGUGUGAUAUCAUUUCAUCAAAUUCAACAACAAAUAUAUGAGACUGCUGCCAGAUAUUUCAAAUUCAGUUUUCAGUAAACUACAUUUUGCUUUCAGGAAGAUUAAAAUUUUAGCAUAGGCAUGUGCCUACUUAUUUGUUCUUGGGUUUUUGUUUUGUUUUGUUUUGUUUUUGGAGACAGAGUCUCACUCUAUUGCCCAGGCUGGAGUGCCGUGGUGCAAUCUCGGCUCACUGCAACCUCUGCCUCCGGGGUUCAAGUGAUCCUCCUGCCUCAGCCUCCCAAGUAGCUGGAAUUACAGGCAUGCGCCACCAUGUCUGGCUAAUUUUUGUAUUUUUGGUGACAGGGGUUUCACCAUGUUGGCCAGGCUGGCCUUGAACCCCUGGCCUCAAGUGAUCCGCCUGCUUUAGCCUCUCAAAGUGCUGGGAUUACAGGCGUGUACCACUGCACAUGGCCGUGCCCAUUUACGUUACAAUUUUUAUCAACUACUUUACACCAGGAUCUUAAAUGUAUUUUUUUGCCUUCAGAUAUGGGGUCUAUUCUUGAGAAAUACUGUCAUAAUUUUACAAAAAUUAUUAUUAGCAAAGCUGAAAACAAUUAUUUAUGUGUAUGUUUGUAUAUAUAUUUGUAUGCAUGUAUUUUAUCUGUAUACUUUAAGAAUGUUAGAGCUCUUCUUUUAAUCUUAUUCUUUUUACCCACCUAACUAACUUGAAAAGCUGAAAGGUAAUAUCUCAAAGGCUCGGCUCCCAUUUUUUCUGGAAAUUACAGAUUUUCUUGCACAUGUAAAAAAUGCUUGAGGAGGUGAAUAGUCAUUGUUUACGUGCACUCAAUGAAACCUCACUUCUCUUGUGCAUGUGUGUACAUGUGUGUGUAAAUAGCAAAGUUAAAUUUAUGACUUAGAUUAUAUGGCAGGACUUUCUUACUUAAACUUAUUAUUACUCUCAGACACAAACAGUAACAGGGACUAAUGAUUAAAUUUUCCAGAUGUGUCCUGGACAGAUAUGCAUUGGAAAUAGAUAAGAAACAUAGAAGUUAGCAUAUUAUCUUGCUGUACAAAUAGCUAUUGAGCAAGUGAAAUCAGCUGCUUUUCCAAAAUCUCCUAUUUGAAAUACUCCUGACAUUGUUACAUUUUUAGCAACCUCCUAUUCAACAGAUAAACACAAAGAUAAAUUUUGGGCUGUGCUUAUUCAAAUGAUCACAGACUUGGAGUCUGUGGUCUCCCUGAAAUUUACUGUAUUGCUCUAAGAACUUUUUGAUGUCUUAGAGAAACAAAAUUGGUAUUUUUUAGUUUUUAAAUAUUUUUAAUUGAUAAUAAUUAUACAUAUUUAUGGUAUACAUGGGAUAUUUUGAUACAUGCACACAAUAUAUUAUGUAAUAAUUAAAUCAAGGUACUUAGGUUACUCAUCACCUCAUAUAUUUAUCAUUCAUUUUUUAAAUUUAUUUUUUAUUUUUUAAUUUUUGUGGAUACAUAGUAGGUGUAUAUGUUUAUGAGGUAUAUGUGAUGUUUUUAUACAGGCAUGCAAUGUGAAAUAAGAACAUCACAAAGAAUGGGGUAUUCUUCCCCUCAAGCAUUUUUCCUUUGAGUUACAAAUAAUCCAAUUACAUUCAAGUUAUUUUCAAAUAUACAACUAAGUUAUUAUAUUAUUAACUUUAGUCACCCUAAUGCUGUAUCAAAUAGUAGUUCUUAUUCAUUCUUUAUUUUUUGCACCCAUUAACCAACCUCACCUCUCCCCACUCCCCUCCCCAGCCUCUGGUAACUAUCCUCCUUCUCUCUAUGUCCACGAUUUCAAUUGAUAUGAUUUUUAGAAUAUUUCAAAUCUUCUCUUCUAUCUGUUUUGAAAUAUAUAAUACAUUUUUAUUAACUAUAGUCACUCUACUCCACUAUUUAAUACUAGAACUUCUUCCUUUGGUCUAUAUUUAUACUCAUUCGCCGACCUCUCUUCAUCCCCUACUCCCUACUCCGUUCCCAGCCUCUGGUAACUAUUUUGAAUAUUUUUGAAGAAUAAAUUAAGAAAUUAGCAAUUCUUAUAUUUCACUAGUUUGAACUUAUAAAGAACAAGGAAAUCUUGUGAUACAAUUUAUAUCAGGAAGAAAAAUGGUUCAUCAUGCCCUCCAUCACAUAUUCUGGCAAUGUCAUAUCCUCUUACUUCAAGGAACAAUAGUUUGUUUCAUCUUUCACACUAAUACCCAUUUCAGAAGAAUGAAAGGCCAUAUUCGUGGGAAAUGACAUUUGAAAACUGGAAAAAAGGGAAGAGCAUAUUCAUGAGGAGAGAAUGAUUCAUUUUAGGGGUGUUGUUCUUUCCGAUGCACAAUAAAUCAAAGUUAAAUAUAAUUCAUUUCUUCAUUCAAUAAACACUGAGUGAGAGUCCAAU